AACGAACGCUGGCGGCAGGCUUAACACAUGCAAGUCGAGCGCCUCGCAAGGGGAGCGGCAGACGGGUGAGUAACGCGUGGGAAACUACCCUUUGGUACGGAAUAACACAGAGAAAUUUGUGCUAAUACCGUAUGAGCCCUUCGGGGGAAAGAUUUAUCGCCAUAGGAUGUGCCCGCGUAGGAUUAGCUAGUUGGUGUGGUAAUGGCGCACCAAGGCGACGAUCCUUAGCUGGUCUGAGAGGAUGAUCAGCCACACUGGGACUGAGACACGGCCCAGACUCCUACGGGAGGCAGCAGUGGGGAAUAUUGGACAAUGGGCGCAAGCCUGAUCCAGCCAUGCCGCGUGAGUGAUGAAGGCCUUAGGGUUGUAAAGCUCUUUCACCCACGACGAUAAUGACGGUAGUGGGAGAAGAAGCCCCGGCUAACUUCGUG
rnacentral:rRNA from 2 species